rnacentral:rRNA from 1 species
UUCCGGUUGAUCCUGCCAGAGGUCACUGCUAUCGGUGUUCGACUAAGCCAUGCGAGUCAAAUGUUCUUCGUGAACAUGGCGUACUGCUCAGUAACACGUGGAUAACCUGCCCUUAGGUCUGGCAUAACCCCGGGAAACUGGGGAUAAUUCCGGAUAGAUCAUCGAUGCUGGAAUGCGCUUUGAUCCAAAGCUAUUGUGCCUAAGGAUGGGUCUGCGGUCUAUCAGGUUGUAGUGGGUGUAAUGUACCUACUAGCCUACGACGGAUACGGGUUGUGGGAGCAAGAGCCCGGAGAUGGAUUCUGAGACAUGAAUCCAGGCCCUACGGGGCGCAGCAGGCGCGAAAACUUUACAAUGCGGGGAACCGCGAUAAGGGGACACCGAGUGCCAGCAUCCUAUGUUGGCUGUCCAUAUGUCUAAAUCACAUGUGUUAGCAAGGGCCGGGCAAGACCGGUGCCAGCCGCCGCGGUAACACCGGCGGCCCGAGUGGUGGCCACUAUUAUUGGGUCUAAAGGGUCCGUAGCCGGUUUGGUCAGUCUUCCGGGAAAUCUGACGGCUCAACCGUUAGGCUUUCGGGGGAUACUACCAGGCUUGGGACCGGGAGAGGUAAGAGGUACUACGGGGGUAGGAGUGAAAUCUUGUAAUCCCUGUGGGACCACCAGUGGCGAAGGCGUCUUACCAGAACGGGUCCGACGGUGAGGGACGAAAGCUGGGGGCACGAACCGGAUUAGAUACCCGGGUAGUCCCAGCUGUAAACUAUGCUCGCUAGGUGUCAGGGACGGUGCGACCGUUUCUGGUGCCGCAGGGAAGCCGUGAAGCGAGCCACCUGGGAAGUACGGUCGCAAGGCUGAAACUUAAAGGAAUUGGCGGGGGAGCACUACAACGGGUGGAGCCUGCGGUUUAAUUGGACUCAACGCCGGGA